CUUCUAUGUGGAGAUAGAUUUGUACGCUUUUAUUUACAUUUAUCUGCGAAAGAAAAUACACGUCGUGCUCAGUUGUUGAAGUGGCUCUCUUCCCAGUACUUCAGAGCACACAUAACGUCUAAAACGUAAAAAAAACAUGUGAAAGAAAUACCAAACGACAUUUUGCAGGGAUUUAGAGGUCGUUGCUGAAAAUGAAAGAAAGAACAUGGAUACAUCUAAUUUUAAAUGAAAUAACAAGAAUAGUUAAAUGAUUUACAACCAAGCAGCACUCAGUUAUAGUGAUGAAAAAUGAAACUAGAUUUUUGAAAGAUAGAACAUAGAAGAAAAGGAAAAGGUUAAAGAUUUAGUGCCGGCCUCACAAUUAAGAAAGAAUACGAACAAGCAUUCUUUACAGAACAGGGGA